rnacentral:misc_RNA from 1 species
UCAAACUUGGUCAUUUAGAGGAAGUAAAAGUCGUAACAAGGUCUCCGUAGGUGAACCUGCGGAGGGAUCAUUACAGAGUUCGUGCCCUCUGGGCAGACCUCCCCACCCAUUGUCAUCGUCACGAUUGUUGCCUUGGCGGGCCCGCCCACGGCGCCCGCCAGAGGCCCCACAGACCCGUGAAUGUUAGCGUCGUCAGAGGACCCCAUUACAAUAGUCAAAACUUUCAACAACGGAUCUCUUGGCUCUGGCAUCGAUGAAGAACGCAGC